UGUUGCAGUUGUAACUUUUGCUGUGGCAGAAUUAGGAGAUAGGGCCUUUAAAAAAAGGUGGUAAUUAAGGUUAAAUGACAUCAUAAUGAUGGGACCCUAAUCCAACAAGAAUGCUGUCCUUACAAGGAGAAAGAGACACCAGGAGCAGAAGCAUGCCCAAAUAAAAGGCCACGUGAGGACUCAGAGACAGUGGAUAUCUGCAAGCCAAGGAGAGAAAGGUCAUCAGAAACCACCCCUGGAAGGAGAGACUUUCAGCCUUCAGAACCGUGAGAAAAAAUUGUCUGAAAUUUCUAAGCAUCUUUACUUACUACACAUGAAGACAAGAGGGGAAGAGGACGUGAAGAUACAUAGAUGAAUAGACAGUGAAGAAUAAAAGUGACUGGCAGAGUAAAUUCAUUGAAAAGGACCAGCCAAACCCAGGUGGCAGAGGUUGUUCAAGGAUGUGAAAAACGAAAAGAUAAACUCUACUGAGUUUACUUUGGCUUGUCAGUUGAUGCUGUGACUUGGAAGGAGGAAAGUGUCACAAAUCAUAAAAAAAAUUGUAUUUGACAAUAAGGUAUCAAAUCAGGUCAAAUGGAGGGGAAAACUGUAUUUUGAGGGGAUACUAUGAUUUAUUUCCAAAACAUGACCCUGGGCCUUUUUUAGUGUUUGUGGGAGAUGUCUAUUGCAUUGCUCAACAGAUUUAAGAAAGUUUUCAGUGAGGUGAUGGAGCACCAAUAAUUAUGGGAUUGUUAAAUAAAUGUUCAGAAAUAGAGAGGGGCACCCUUUACCAGGAAGCAGCCUGCUUUGGUAUGUCGGAGGGUAGAUCUGGAUCUCAAUGGUGAGGCAUGACAGAGGCGGGCUGUGAUGUUUUCUGGGCCACAAACAAAAUCAUUUACGCUGUUGUCACAGGUAGAACAGUUGACCAAAUUAUCCAGUGUGGAAAUUAAAUACCCAUCAUUUUCUACAUACCAGAUAAAUUUGAUUUUUAAUCUCAUUUCUGCCACUUCAUAGCCUGUGACCUUGGGCAAGUUGCUUAAUGCCACUGAGCUUCAUUUUCCUAGUAUGUGGAAUGGGAAUAACACGCUUACCGAAUUGAAUUGUGAAGGGACACAAACACUCAUACCGCAGCAGUUGCUUUGUUAGGGAGAUGGUUAUGAAUGUGUCUCUGGGCCCUAUAAAUAGAUUCAGGGAUGGGUUGUUUGUGCAAUGGGGAGGAAACCAGAGGCAGGAGUAGGGCUCAGUAUUCAGUGGGAACGUAACAGGAGAGAGGACGCACCAGAC